rnacentral:lncRNA from 10 species
AUUUUUGCCUUUGGGAAGAGAGAAAGAAGGGAAGGCAGAGGCAGAUAGGAAACGGGACUGCCUGCUGUUUGCUGAUUGCUAUUGCACUCCUGGCUUGGUUCCAUUCUCUCUGCUGCACUGGAUCCAGCCUGGAGUCAUUACUCAGAGGUUGAGAGACUGACUUGGAGAUAAGGGGCCUCUCUUGCAGGUUUAACAAGAAGUACAGUGCAAAUGCAGGCUUCCUGGAAUCUUGCUGGGAGCUAUUCAUGCUGACACACAUUGCUGAGCGAGAAGGGGGAAGCUUGUGCCUGCUGGUGGGGGGCUCCUGCCACCUACCAUCUGUGGCUUUCAGGGUGGUCCCUGUGAUUCUCUGCUCCUCGGGGCUUCCACUUCUCUGGAUGGGGCUACUUGGCAGCAUGGGAGCCGCCUCCAGCACCAGGGUCAGGUUACAUGACAAGGUCUGUGGAGAGGAGGCAGGACUGGCCUGGGCAGGAGGGGUGGUGGCCUGCGGACACACAACCCCGACCGCUGAUGCCCUUCGGCAUCAUGAGGCCCAUUGGUGUCGGGAGCCUUGUUCUGGAAUCACAUCCUUUCCCUCCCAGAGUUUGGCCACCCUGGAGAUGGAGAUGACACACAGCUGUCUCUCCUGGCCCAGAAUUUCAGCAGGUCACAUGCUGAGUCCGUGGUGCUCAGCCAGUGAUUCCAGCAUUGUUUCAGAGAAGCCUGAGGGAGCUGUCAGUCUCCCGUAAAUGGAGAGGCUGGGGUUCCAACAGGGCAAAGAGGAGACAAAACAGGUGGAGAGAGACGCCCGGGCCUGUCAACCACAAAGUAAAGAGGCUGGAACCGCACAGCUCCUGCCCGAGGGCCUUGGCAGGAUCUGUGUCCCCCACGGCCCACUGGGCAUGGACUCUGGGGAGGGGCAGAGGGGUUGGCCCCUCGCUCAGGCUCUGCUUCCCUGGCCUUCACCCACGUGAGCCACCUUCUGUUCGCCCUGGGACACUCCCUCUCACCACAGUGGUCUACUUUUGAGCCCACAUCAAGUAACUUGCGCAAAUAAAAGGAACAUUCUCAAGCUUGGGAAUUUAUUUCUGUGAAUACAGACUGAAGACUGUUAAGACACAUUCAGGCAUUGGAUGCAUCCGAUGAGAGAAAGAGAAUGUGUGUAAAUUACUGGAAAUGUGAUCCACUGACCACAGAAAUCAGGACGGAACCAGAACACCCACAUACGGCAGAGCUCCUGGGGAGACUGAGGUCCAGGGUGGGAGAG